CUACGGGGCGCUGCAGUGGGGAAUAUUGGACAAUGGGGGAAACCCUGAUCCAGCAAUGCCGCGUGUGUGAAGAAGGCCUGCGGGUUGUAAAGCACUUUCGGUUGGGAGGACUGCUUCUAGCACUAAUAUUGUUGGAAGUUGACGUUACCUUCAGAAGAAGCACCGGCUAUCUCCGUGCCAGCAGCCGCGGUAAUACGGAGGGUGCAAGCGUUAAUCGGAAUUACUGGGCGUAAAGCGCGCGUAGGCGGCUAGAUCAGUCGGGUGUGAAAGCCCCGGGCUUAACCUGGGAACUGCAUCCGAUACUGUCUAGCUUGAGUACAGGAGAGGAGAGUGGAAUUCCACAUGUAGCGGUGAAAUGCGUAGAUAUGUGGAGGAACACCAAUGGCGAAGGCAGCUCUCUGGCCUGAUACUGACGCUGAGGUGCGAAAGCGUGGGGAUCAAACAGGAUUAGAUACCCUGGUAGUC
rnacentral:rRNA from 1 species